UUCGACCAUCGAUUGUUUUAAAAGUUCACUGUGAUAUAUCAAUUAUAGGUGACCGUACGACUUCGACCAUCGAUUGUUUUAAAAGUUCAACGUGAUAUAUCAAUUAUAGGUGACCGUACGACUUCGACCAUCGAUUGUUUUAAAAGUUCACUGUGAUAUAUCAAUUAUAGGUGACCGUACGACUUCGACCAUUGAUUGUUUUAAAAGUUCACUGUGAUAUAUCAAUUAUAGGUGACCGUACGACU